rnacentral:rRNA from 1 species
GAGCUUGCUCCUUUGACGUUAGCGGCGGACGGGUGAGUAACACGUGGGUAACCUACCUAUAAGACUGGGAUAACUUCGGGAAACCGGAGCUAAUACCGGAUAAUAUUUCGAACCGCAUGGUUCGAUAGUGAAAGAUGGCUCUGCUAUCACUUAUAGAUGGACCUGCGCCGUAUUAGCUAGUUGGUAAGGUAACGGCUUACCAAGGCAACGAUACGUAGCCGACCUGAGAGGGUGAUCGGCCACACUGGAACUGAGACACGGUCCAGACUCCUACGGGAGGCAGCAGUAGGGAAUCUUCCGCAAUGGGCGAAAGCCUGACGGAGCAACGCCGCGUGAGUGAUGAAGGUCUUCGGAUCGUAAAACUCUGUUAUUAGGGAAGAACAAACGUGUAAGUAACUGUGCACGUCUUGACGGUACCUAAUCAGAAAGCCACGGCUAACUACGUGCCAGCAGCCGCGGUAAUACGUAGGUGGCAAGCGUUAUCCGGAAUUAUUGGGCGUAAAGCGCGCGUAGGCGGUUUUUUAAGUCUGAUGUGAAAG